AGUGAACGCUGGCGGUAGGCCUAACACAUGCAAGUCGAACGGCAGCACAGUAAGAGCUUGCUCUUACGGGUGGCGAGUGGCGGACGGGUGAGGAAUACAUCGGAAUCUACUUUUUCGUGGGGGAUAACGUAGGGAAACUUACGCUAAUACCGCAUACGACCUACGGGUGAAAGCAGGGGAUCUUCGGACCUUGCGCGAUUGAAUGAGCCGAUGUCGGAUUAGCUAGUUGGCGGGGUAAAGGCCCACCAAGGCGACGAUCCGUAGCUGGUCUGAGAGGAUGAUCAGCCACACUGGAACUGAGACACGGUCCAGACUCCUACGGGAGGCAGCAGUGGGGGAUAUCGGACAAUGGGCGCAAGCCUGAUCCAGCCAUACCACGUGGGUGAAGAAGGCCUUCGGGUUGUAAAGCCCUUUUGUUGGGAAAGAAAAGCAGCAGGUUAAUACCCCGCUGUUCUGACGGUACCCAAAGAAUAAGCACCGGCUAACUUCGUG
rnacentral:rRNA from 1 species